CAGUAGCCGCGGGAAUACGUAGGGUGCAAGCGUUAAUCGGAAUUACUGGGCGUAAAGCGUGCGCAGGCGGUUCGGAAAGAAAGAUGUGAAAUCCCAGAGCUUAACUUUGGAACUGCAUUUUUAACUACCGGGCUAGAGUGUGUCAGAGGGGGGUGGAAUUCCACGUGUAGCAGUGAAAUGCGUAGAGAUGUGGAGGAAUACCGAUGGCGAAGGCAGCCCCCUGGGCCAAUACUGACGCUCAUGCACGAAAGCGUGGGGAGCAAACAGGAUUAGAUACCCCCGUAGUCCCUGUCUCUUAUAC
rnacentral:rRNA from 1 species